UACAGAGGUCUCAAGCGUUGUUCGGAUUCAUUGGGCGUAAAGGGUGCGUAGGUGGCGCCGUAAGUCGGGUGUGAAAUUUCGGAGCUUAACUCCGAAACUGCAUUCGAUACUGCGGUGCUUGAGGACUGGAGAGGAGACUGGAAUUCAUGGUGUAGCAGUGAAAUGCGUAGAGAUCAAUGAGGAAGACCAGUGGCGAAGGCGGGUCUCUGGACAGUUCCUGACACUGAGGCACGAAGGCCAGGGAGGCAAACGGG
rnacentral:rRNA from 1 species